rnacentral:rRNA from 1 species
UACGUAGGGGGCUAGCGUUGUCCGGAAUCAUUGGGCGUAAAGAGCGUGUAGGCGGCCCGGUCAGUCCGCUGUAAAAGUCAAAGGCUCAACCUUUGAAUGUCAGUGGAUACUGCCGGGCUAGAGUCCGGAAGAGGCGAGUGGAACUCCUGGUGUAGCGGUGGAAUGCGCAGAUAUCAGGAGGAACACCGGUGGCGAAGGCGGUUCUCUGGGCAUUACCUGACGCUGAGGAGCGAAAGCGUGGGGAGCAAACAGG